AUGUCAACUGUGGCGUCAAGUUCCAAGAGGUCACGGGGACAAGCAGCACACGGUGUUGACAGACUCAGCAGCCUCCCAGACCCGCUGCUCCAUCUCGUGAUGUCCUUCCUGCCAAUGCCAGAAGUCGUGCGCACAAGCUUGCUCUCGCCAAGGUGGCGCUAUCUGUGGGCCUCUGCGCCGUUCAUCCACCUAGAUUACAAGGACUUUGUGAAUGGUGGUGAUGAUCUAAAGAAGAGAAAAUUUGAUCAGAACAGGCUGCAGAAGUUUGGGGACCAGUUGCUACUCUUGCGUGAUGGCACUCUGCCCCUGGAUGAAGCUCGGAUCUUCAUCAGAAGUGGUCCAAUUGCUGAGAAAUGCUGUACGUGGAUUCGUCAUGCUAUCAGGCAUAAAGCUCGUCUGCUUCAUGUUUAUGGUCUCCCCAUCGGAGAAGAAAUAUUUUUCGAUAAUAGAUCGAUGAUUCCUUCUCAGCACCUGAAAAGAAUCAGGCUCCAAAUGGUCACUUUGGAUAGCAUAUCCUUUAGGAUGCUAAAUUUUGACUUCCCUGCGCUUGAACAUUUAGAGCUGCAAGAUUGCAAUGUCUGGCCCAUGCAGAAGAUCUCAUCGAGGUCACUCAAGACUAUACAAAUAUCCCGCUGCGAUUUCGAGGAAGGUCAUGAGAUUUGUGCUCCGAAUCUAAACCAUCUGUCUAUCCUCGACUCAUCAUUUGGAGGUAUCCUUGUAACUAGGGAUCUGCAUUCUCUAGUUGCAGUUUCAAUAUGUCUAGGCAAUCAAGACGAAAUAUUGGAUCACCGUGUAUUUGAUGGCCUAUCACAAGUCACAACCUUGAAGUUGCAUGCACCAUUACCUGAGCCCACACUUGAGAGGAGUUUGCAAACAUGCCCGGUGUUCAGCAACCUCACAAGUCUGGUGCUGGGCGAAUGGUGCAUGGCUUCCGACUUUGCUCCGCUGCUUCUCAUUCUCCGGCGCUCACCUAAACUAAAGUAUCUGACCCUUAAGCUCAGAACGGAGCAGCAUGGAGAAUGCAAGGCUGCUGGCCGUAAUCCGUCUCCAAGGGAGGAAUCAUCUUUGGGCGGUUAUCCUAGCAUCAAGAGGACCGUGAUCUACUGCGGCAGAGAUGAUCCAUGGGUGAGCUCACUGGUGAAGGUGCUGCUGCCGAUCGUCAUCCCCUGCGGGGAGAUCAGCAUCAAAGGUCACUAG
rnacentral:rRNA from 1 species